rnacentral:rRNA from 1 species
UCCUACGGGAGGCAGCAGUGGGGAAUAUUGCACAAUGGGCGCAAGCUUGAUGCAGCAACGCCGCGUGAGGGACGAAGGCCUUCGGGUUGUAAACCUCUUUUAGUAGGGAAGAAGCGACUGGGUUUUCCUGGGAGUGACGGUACCUGCAGAAAAAGCACCGGCUAACUACGUGCCAGCAGCCGCGGUAAUACGUAGGGUGCAAGCGUUGUCCGGAAUUAUUGGGCGUAAAGAGCUCGUAGGCGGUUUGUCGCGUCUGCUGUGAAAACCCGAGGCUCAACCUCGGGCCUGCAGUGGGUACGGGCAGACUAGAGUGCGGUAGGGGAGAUUGGAAUUCCUGGUGUAGCGGUGGAAUGCGCAGAUAUCAGGAGGAACACCAAUGGCGAAGGCAGAUCUCUGGGCCGUAACUGACGCUGAGGAGCGAAAGCAUGGGGAGCGAACAGGAUUAGAUACCCUGGUAGUCCAUGCCGUAAACGUUGGGAACUAGAUGUGGGGACCAUUCCACGGUCUCCGUGUCGCAGCUAACGCAUUAAGUUCCCCGCCUGGGGAGUACGGCCGCAAGGCUAAAACUCAAAGGAAUUGACGGGGGCCCGCACAAGCGGCGGAGCAUGCGGAUUAAUUCGAUGCAACGCGAAGAACCUUACCAAGGCUUGACAUAUACCGGAAACGGCUGGAAACAGUCGCCCCGCAAGGUCGGUAUACAGGUGGUGCAUGGUUGUCGUCAGCUCGUGUCGUGAGAUGUUGGGUUAAGUCCCGCAACGAGCGCAACCCUCGUCCUAUGUUGCCAGCACGUAAUGGUGGGAACUCAUGGGAUACUGCCGGGGUCAACUCGGAGGAAGGUGGGGAUGACGUCAAAUCAUCAUGCCCCUUAUGUCUUGGGCUUCACGCAUGCUACAAUGGCCGGUACAAAGGGCUGCGAUACCGCAAGGUGGAGCGAAUCCCAAAAAGCCGGUCUCAGUUCGGAUUGAGGUCUGCAACUCGACCUCAUGAAGUCGGAGUCGCUAGUAAUCGCAGAUCAGCAACGCUGCGGUGAAUACGUUCCCGGGCCUUGUACACACCGCC